UUAAGGAGAGAGGGGCAGACCCUAGGGAGCCCCUGGGAGCGCCCCCAGCCUCCACCCCAGCAAUAUGACAGCAGCCGCCUUGCCCUCUGGCUCUGCUUCUGAACAAUGUGGACCAAGAAGCUUCAUAGAGUGAGAUAACUUGGAUUUAUGGAGAGAAGGGAGUUCCGGAAGGGAUGAUGGGAGAAUGGAAAUAGCAAAGGCAUAUAAAGGAAGAAUGAAGGAAGGGGAGGAGGAAGAAAGCAAAAGCUAAGAACAGGAAAAUGGAAAGAAAGGUGUUUCAGGAGAGUUUAAGAAGACAGUCUGGAGUGAAUAAAGAAAUUACUGAGGAAAACAAGGAGCGUGACCCUGACAUCUUCUCCAAUCAGUCACCUCCAUUGAUAACCUUAUAAAAGAUCUUUCUGGAGCCUUGGCUCCAUCUUUGAAGCCAUCUUCUAAAUCUGGAUCGACAAAGCCAGCCCAAGGUGCCCCUGAGCCUCUCAUCCACUGAAACUGGAGACACGCUGCAUCCUGGCAACACCGGGAUGGCUCAGGUCAGCAGCUCCGGCAGUCACCCAGAACAACUCUGUGACUCUACCUGGAAAGACCUUCUCUUCCCAUAAGUGUUAGCAUAUUAAGCCUCUACUGCGUGGAAUAGGAUGAGGAGGAGUUUGGGGAAGAAAUGUGAAGACAAAUGUGGGUAUUUGAAAGCAGAAAAGAAAAUCCAGUGCUCAAAAUGGCAUUCUUUAACUGAGACUAGCUAUAAAUUUUUUCUCUCUUGUUGAUUUCCUGUCUUGGAAAGAACCCAUUAAUGGAAAAAAAAAAAAAAAAGUACAAGUUGGAAGCUCAA